UCAUAUGGAUUGUGUCAGCCGCCGCGCGGUAAUACGGGAGUGGCAAGCGUUAUCCGGAAUUAUUGGGCGUAAAGCGUCCGCAGGCGGCCCUUUCAAGUCUGCUGUUAAAACGUGGAGCUUAACUCCAUCAUGGCAGUGGAAACUGUUGGGCUUGAGUGUGGUAGGGGCAGAGGGAAUUCCCGGUGUAGCGGUGAAAUGCGUAGAUAUCGGGAAGAACACCAGUGGCGAAGGCGCUCUGCUGGGCCAUAACUGACGCUCAUGGACGAAAGCCAGGGGAGCGAAAGGGAUUAGAUACCCCUGUAGUCCUGGCCGUAAACGAUGAACACUAGGUGUCGGGGGAAUCGACCCCCUCGGUGUCGUAGCCAACGCGUUAAGUGUUCCGCCUGGGGAGUACGCACGCAAGUGUGAAACUCAAAGGAAUUGACGGGGGCCCGCACAAGCGGUGGAGUAUGUGGUUUAAUUCGAUGCAACGCGAAGAACCUUACCAGGGUUUGACAUCCUGCGAAUCUCUUGGAAACGAGAGAGUGCCUUCGGGAACGCAGUGACAGGUGGUGCAUGGCUGUCGUCAGCUCGUGUCGUGAGAUGUUGGGUUAAGUCCCGCAACGAGCGCAACCCACGUCUUUAGUUGCCAGCAUUUAGUUGGGCACUCUAGAGAGACCGCCGGUGAUAAACCGGAGGAAGGUGUGGAUGACGUCAAGUCAUCAUGCCCCUUACAUCCUGGGCUACACACGUACUACAAUGCUACGGACAAAGAGCAGCAAGUUCGCGAGGACAAGCAAAUCUCAUAAACCGUGGCUCAGUUCAGAUCGUAGGCUGCAACUCGCCUACGUGAAGGAGGAAUCGCUAGUAAUCGCAGGUCAGCAUACUGCGGUGAAUACGUUCCCGGGCCUUGCACACACCGCCCGUC
rnacentral:rRNA from 1 species